UGCGUUUUCUAAUGUAGUUUUGUUUGCGUGGUGCAGGCAGGGAUCUUCGGAUUCUAGUGGCGGACGGGUGAGUAACGCGUAAGAACUAACUUCAGGACGGGGACAACAGUUGGAAACGACUGCUAUUACCCGAUGUGCCGCAAGGUGAAACCUAAUUGGCCUGGAGAAGAGCUUGCGUCUGAUUAGCUAGUUGGUGGGGUAAGGGCCUACCAAGGCGACGAUCAGUAGCUGGUCUGAGAGGAUGAGCAGCCACACUGGGACUGAGACACGGCCCAGACUCCUACGGGAGGCAGCAGUGGGGAAUUUUCCGCAAUGGGCGAAAGCCUGACGGAGCAACGCCGCGUGAGGGAGGAAGGUCUUUGGAUUGUAAACCUCUUUUCUCAAGGAAGAAGUUCUGACGGUACUUGAGGAAUCAGCCUCGGCUAACUCCGUGCCAGCAGCCGCGGUAAUACGGGGGAGGCAAGCGUUAUCCGGAAUUAUUGGGCGUAAAGCGUCCGCAGGUGGUCAGCCAAGUCUGCUGUCAAAUCAGGUUGCUUAACGACCUAAAGGCGGUGGAAACUGGCAGACUAGAGAGCAGUAGGGGUAGCAGGAAUUCCCAGUGUAGCGGUGAAAUGCGUAGAGAUUGGGAAGAACAUCGGUGGCGAAAGCGUGCUACUGGGCUGUAUCUGACACUCAGGGACGAAAGCUAGGGGAGCGAAAGGGAUUAGAUACCCCUGYAGUCCUAGCCGUAAACGAUGGAUACUAGGCGUGGCUUGUAUCGACCCGAGCCGUGCCGAAAGCAAA
rnacentral:rRNA from 1 species